CCACUUGGGGCUGAUGCCGUUUUAGGCCUGACGCCAUUUUAGCCCUGACGCCGUUUUAGUCCUCAGCCGUCUUGCACCCAGGUGCUCACUAAAACAGCGUGUUGCUGCACACUGCCUCCUGUUGUCUGUUGGCACGCUCUCAGAAUUUAAACUGAUACAAAAACGUUACAAACAUACGAAGACAUCAUCAGGAUGGCUGACUUGAGGCACUCAGCACUUGACUUCUGCACAGAUGAGAAUCAAAACAGCAAAUAGAUAACCACACACCAAGUAGAGUGUCUAUGAGAAAACACGAGAAUUAAGCACGGAAGUGACAGAGGCCCUCCGAGGCACAAAAGGAGGUGGACGCAAAGCAGCUGGCCUGACCAGGAUCAGCUCAGAUCCAGAAGGGACUCUCCAUUAAGGGGAAAGAGAUGAGGGGGUGUCUCACUUUGCUGCACAGACUGGUCUUGAACUCCUCACUUCAAGCAAUCUUCCCAUUGUGGCCUCCCAAAAUGCUGAGACUACAGCUUUCAUACGGAGAUGACUGGAGAAUGGAGACGGCAGGGGGCAGUGCAAAACAGUGCAAGAAGUCCAGGCUGUAGGGGCCGGUUGGAGAGUCUGAAUCUAACUCUGGCACCUACCUGUCAGUUGAGCAGUCUAAGAUCCCCAGAUGUCAUUAGGAAUACCAUCAAAACAACCAAAAUGGAAUAAUGUCAAUACUUGCUAAUGUGUGUAAUGCAGUGGGAUAUUUUUGUCACCAUUUCUUGUUUUCCUUAAGUUUUAAUCUGUGCCUAUAUUUUCUAAGUUACCUAAAUAUUGCUUAUAACUGUCAUAUUAACCAUACAGUGUGCACAAUGUAAUCAAAUGCAGCUAUAUUUUUACCUCUCGUUCUGUCUUUAAAUUUUUUUCAGUGGAGGUGAUCUUCUCUUGGCCCAAAACGAAAAUUCAAUUCAGUGUCAUGAGUUUUAUUCCCACUCUUAGGUAAUGGAAAGUUCGAGGCAACUUUAAGUCACAAAGCAGUCUCAAUCUAAUAAUUCUAAAAUAAGAUAUUAAUCUAUGCCCUAAUUUUUAUCCGAAGGUAACACUCCUCUUCGCUCCGCCCGCUUUGUCCUGUGAAUGACUGCUGCCUGAAUUAGGAGAAGAGAUGUGGUCCGCUUCAGCACAGUAACUUCU